rnacentral:lncRNA from 1 species
AGAGAACUCUGGCAUUCAGGAUGAGGAGGAAGAGAACUCUGGCGUUCAGGAGGAGGAGGAAGAGAACUCUGGCGUUCAGGACGAGGAGGAAGAGAACUCUGGCGUUCAGAAUGAGGAAGAGAACUCUGGCGUUCAGGAUGAAACAAGAGAGAACCCUGAAAGUCCACCACAGGAUCAGAAGGAAAUUGUAGCAACAAACCAUGAGUCUAACAUAGAAGAAAAUGGGGAUGGUGCCCAGGGUUCUCCAUGGAAUCAGUCUCCUGAGCAGAUUGCUUGCCAUAGUGAGAGCCAUGAGUUAAACCAUGUAGACCAUGAGUCUAACAUAAAAGAUGAUGGAGACUCUGACCCGGGCUCCCCAUGGAAUCAAUCACCUGAGCUGGUCAUUUGCCCUAGUGGGAGCCAUGAGUUAAACCACAUAGGUGUGGAUCCUGAAAAGGAUCACGUUGCCCAUAACUCAGAUAAUUCUUCGUCGGAUGUACGUGGGAACUCAGAGCAAAUGAACACUGCAGAUGAUGCUGUCAAUCGGGAAGUUCCGCUUUCUACUGGUGGAGAUGUCUGGCAAGCCAUUAGUAGGCCUCAUUCUUUCUAUGAUUCUACUGCAAGCCAUGAAUUUACUACCAGUGGGUUGCCACUUAUGAAUCCACAACAUAACCAAGAUCAAAAGACUCGAUUGAUUGAUCUGGAAUCUGACUUGCAUCAAGAAGACAUGAGUAAAGAUUUGUUGCACAGGCAUCCAGAUGAUGGUGCCUUAAGCUCAUAUCAAAACCACGGCCGAAAUGAGCUCCUGCAAUCUCUUUUCAAGGGCCGGGAGAUGUUAUCAUAUCAUCAAGAGCAGAAACAGACAGGGCUCCAUUUCCAACCACCAGACAACUCAAUGAUGGCAGAUGAUGGCCAGUUCCCUGGACAUUUCCAGGAGCAUUUGGAGACAUCAUUGCCAAUUGAGCAGGGGCAGAAGAGGAUGAAUGAGUUUUUCAUGCAACAGAACAUGUCACAGAAUAUUUUCUCCGACAGAGGUAGAUACUUAAUUCCAAGGCAAGAAAACUUGCAACUGGGAAACAUGCAUAAUUGGAAUGUCAAUCCUGUCCACAUUUCGGAGCCUCUUGAAUCUCGCUUAAAUGGUGGAGAAUUGUUGAGUCAGAACUGGUUUUCUGGUGAGCAUCAAGUUCGUGGUGGCUGGACAAAUUCAGGUGGAGUUAGUAUUCAGAGCCCGAGCGUCGGGAAUGGAAGCAACGCAGAUCAGAGUCUGUAUAGUGUUCUACCCAGCUGUAGCCAAUUACGUUCGGUUAAUCCUUAUGAUUCGGUAGGAGCAAAUGAGCAGUUUAUUUCUUCAAGGAACUAUGGAUUGAUGGCCGGAGGUGUUCCUGGG